AGCUACCAUGCAGUCGAGGGGUAACAGGAGUAGCUUGCUACUUGCUGACGACCGGCGCACGGGUGCGUAACGCGUAUAGAAUCUACCUUGUACUAGGGGAUAGCCUUUGGAAACGAAGAUUAAUACCCUAUAGUAAGUAUUUAUGGCAUCAUUUAUACUUUAAAGGUUACGGUACAAGAUGACUAUGCGUCCUAUUAGUUUGUUGGUGAGGUAACGGCUUACCAAGACUUCGAUAGGUAGGGGCCCUGAGAGGGGGAUCCCCCACACUGGUACUGAGACACGGACCAGACUCCUACGGGAGGCAGCAGUGAGGAAUAUUGGACAAUGGAGGCAACUCUGAUCCAGCCAUGCCGCGUGCAGGAUGACGGCCCUAUGGGUUGUAAACUGCUUUUAUGUAGGAAGAAACACUCUCACGUGUGAGAGCUUGACGGUACUACAAGAAUAAGGACCGGCUAACUCCGUGCCAGCCGCCCGGGGGUAAU
rnacentral:rRNA from 1 species